rnacentral:rRNA from 1 species
UACAGAGGUCCCAAGCGUUGUUCGGAUUCACUGGGCGUAAAGGGUGCGUAGGCGGUUGGGUAAGUUUGUUGUGAAAUCUCCGAGCUCAACUCGGAAAUUGCAAUGAAAACUGUUCAGCUAGAGGAUUGUAGGGGGGAUUGGGAUUCUCGGUGUAGCAGUGAAAUGCGUAGAUAUCAAGUGGAACACCAGUGGCGAAGGCGAAUCCCUGGAAAAUACCUGACACUGAGGCACGAAAGCUAGGGGAGCAAACAGG